rnacentral:tmRNA from 1 species
CGGGCUGAGACUGGUUCUACGUCCUGCCGAAAGCCGCACGCGGCACCAGGGCGGACCCGGGUUCGACUCCCGGCAGCUCCACCA